rnacentral:rRNA from 1 species
GAGGAAUAUUGGGCAAUGCCCGCAAGGGUGACCCAGCAACGCCGCGUGGAGGAUGAAUGUCGUAAGAUUGUAAACUCCUGUUAGAGGGGAAGAAUAGUACCGGUUGGACCGGUAUAUGACUGUACCCUCAGAGAAAGCCCCGGCUAACUACGUGCCAGCAGCCGCGGUAAUACGUAGGAACCAAGCGUUGUUCGGAUUUACUGGGCGUAAAGGGCGCGUAGGCGGCAAUUCAAGUCAGCUGUGAAAUCUCUGGGCUUAACCCGGAACGGCCAGCUGAUACUGCUUUGCUAGAGUGCGGAAGGGGCAAUCGGAAUUCUUGGUGUAGCGGUAAAAUGCGUAGAUAUCAAGAGGAACACCUGAGGUGAAGACGGGUUGCUGGGCCGACACUGACGCUGAGGCGCGAAAGCCAGGGGAGCAAACG